ACAUGCAAGUCGAACGAAGUAGCAAUACUUAGUGGCAGACGGGUGAGUAACAUGUAGGUAUCUACCCUAUGGCCUGGAAUAACACGAGGAAACUUGUGCUAAUACCAGAUAAGUCUUUACGGAGAAAGCUUUAUGCACCAUUGGAUGAGCCUGCACUUGAUUAGUUUGUUGGUGGGGUAAUAGCCUACCAAGACUGUGAUCAAUAGCUGAUUUGAGAGGAUGAUCAGCCACAUUGGGACUGAGACACGGCCCAAACUCCUACGGGAGGCAGCAGUGGGGAAUCUUGCACAAUGGAGGAAACUCUGAUGCAGCGAUGCCGCGUGAGUGAAGAAGGCCUUUGGGUUGUAAAGCUCUUUCGUCGGGGAAGAAAAUGACUGUACCCGAAUAAGAAGGUCCGGCUA
rnacentral:rRNA from 1 species